rnacentral:rRNA from 1 species
AUUGAACGCUGGCGGCAGGCCUAACACAUGCAAGUCGAGCGGAUGAAGAGAGCUUGCUCUCUGAUUUAGCGGCGGACGGGUGAGUAAUGCCUAGGAAUCAGCCUGGUAGUGGGGGAUAACGUUCCGAAAGGAACGCUAAUACCGCAUACGUCCUACGGGAGAAAGCAGGGGACCUUCGGGCCUUGCGCUAUCAGAUGAGCCUAGGUCGGAUUAGCUAGUUGGUGAGGUAAUGGCUCACCAAGGCGACGAUCCGUAACUGGUCUGAGAGGAUGAUCAGUCACACUGGAACUGAGACACGGUCCAGACUCCUACGGGAGGCAGCAGUGGGGAAUAUUGGACAAUGGGCGAAAGCCUGAUCCAGCCAUGCCGCGUGUGUGAAGAAGGUCUUCGGAUUGUAAAGCACUUUAAGUUGGGAGGAAGGGCAGUAAGUUAAUACCUUGCUGUUUUGACGUUACCGACAGAAUAAGCACCGGCUAACUUCGUGCCAGCAGCCGCGGUAAGAC